UUUUGUUUGUUUUACUUUUAAAGAGGUCCAGUAUUCUUGAGCUUGUGGGCUGCAGUACUGAAGUUAGAAAUGCUACUGUAUCUAUCUGAAGAGGGAAGCCUUGGCCUUGAACAGAACUAAAAAACUUGACCAUGAUACACUGAAAUUUUUCACUCAGUUUUCAACAAACUACUGCUUUCAGACCUUUCAGUGUUAUGCUUCAUCUGAACUUUUCAGACUCUGUGAAUAUCUGUAUUUUACAUUAUUUUCCUCAAAUGUAUUAGUUUGUAUUUUUCCCAUUUGAAGCUCAUUUUGUAAUUUUCUGCCUGAUUCCUUAAUCUCACUUGGUCCCAUUUGUAUUAUGCCUUUGUGCUCUCUGGUGCUCACCUCAAGUUCUAAUUUAUUCUCACCUGCAUAUUUCAUUAAUGUAUUUUUUACUCCCACAUGUGCAUUAUUAAUAAAGACGUUAAACUGAAUGACUCUCUGCAGAAUGCUAUUAAAUAUUCUCCCCUACACUCCAAAUCUAAUACUUUGAGCCCUUAUUUUACAGCCAGCUCUCAGCCCUUGUGAAAAUGCUCUCUGCAUUGGGAAAAUCAUUCUCAGUACAAAUCUGCAAGUUAUCAUAGCAAGCACUUCACUGGACUCCAGACAAGUGUAUUGCACUCCCUUUAUCCACUAAGCAGGUGAUUGUGCAAAAACAAAAACGAAAACAAAAACAAAAACAAACAAAAAAUUUAAAAUUAAAAUUAAAAAGUGAAACAAAUGGCAAAAUCUGUUUUAGGAAAUAGGUACUGUACUUCAUUAUGUGGUGACUACGUAUGAGACUGGGGAAAGAAUGCUCUGAAUUACUUUUUUGUAACCUUUGCACCAUGAUUUAUAGAGCACUGUUUUCAGCUACCCAGGGUCUUUUAAAUCCCCCUGGCAUCAGGACCUGCUUCUGUUGCUUGUAGUGGUUCAGCACCAAGCCCUUGCUCUCAGGAUGGGCAGCAGGGCAGAAGGCUCCUUCAGACCAACCCUUCUGCUGAUCUGUGGUGAAGCUUCCAACACACUCCACCUCCAGUGCUCCACCAGAGAGAACAGGGUCACCUUUGUGCUGUCUGCAACUUUUCCAUUACACUCUUGCGUGGGAGAAGUGCCCCCAACCCAAAGUCCUGAGCCCAGGGCCUGGGAAGGCAGCAUACCCUGGCACUGUUUUGGUUUUGCUCUUUUCUCAGUCUGCUUUUAACACACUUUCUAUUCUGUGUUAAUUUGUUUCCCUCCCUAGCAAUUUCUCCUAGUUACUUGUGUUCUCCUCUAAUUACCAGGCACAAUUAGAAUAAUUCCACUGCUUUCUAUGGAUUCUGCAGUUCGGCAGUGGAAUCGGGCUGGGAUCAAAUUCGGCUGUGGUUUUCUGUCUAGCAAAGCACACACGUGCUCCAGGAAGGUUGGAAAGUCUGCAGGACUCCAACAGAAGACAUUUCUGAGAAAGAAACACUAUUGGACACUCAGAACAACACCCCUUGACCAUGUUUCCCAAGUAAAUUACAAGUCAGAAAAAACACCACCUGCUAGCAGUUUUCCACCUUAACGAUUUUCCACCUUAACGGUUUUCCAACUUCCAAGGAUUGUUUUUGAUUCCUCCUCACAAAUUCUCAGGCCAGUGUGAGAAAGUUAUGUGCCUCGACUUCUCACAAACUCUGUUGCUGCCUGAUUUCCCUCUCUGAUCAGGUUUCCAGCAUCCAUACAGGGGUGCUGCAGGCCCCUGUCCCUGCACUGCUCUGGCGGAGGAUGGUGCCUUGCUCGCCUGCCGGGGGGCUCUGAGGAGCUGCAGGAUGGAGGCUCAGCAGGCAGGGGCUAGGGCAAAAGUUCUCUGGAUGUUCUGGUUAAAAAUUGUGUAUAACUAGAAGCCAAAUGAGCUGGUUGCCCUCAAACAGUUCAGCUUCAUGCUGCUUUGCCACUUGGCCAAGAAGAUCCUGGAAGAGCCCUGGCCAUGACAGCAGCUUUCAUCUCAGGGAACACUGAUGGAUUGUACUGGCAUGCCUAGUUCUUCUGGAUAAGCCCAGGCUCCUGCGUUCGACAAGUUCCUCCUGAAUAUGAGAAAGAACUUCUUCACUGUGCAGUGGCCAAGCACUGAAACAGAUUGCCCAGAGAGGUGGUGGAGCCUGCCUCAUUGAAGAUGUUCAGGAUCUUUCUGGACACAAUCCUGAGUCUGGGAUGACCCUGACUGAGCAGGGAGAUUGGAUCAAGGACAGCUGUGGUCCCUUCCAAUCUUGUCUGUUCUGUGAUUCUGUAAUUCUGACACAAAGACAUGCAAGUAUCAGUAUGGAAAUGGGUGCAAAAAAUCUUUUACACAAGUUGGACUUUGACAAUCAGAUGGAUCCUAAAUUAUAACUCAUCCUUUGAAUAUGUUCUGUCUUCAAGCAGAUAAUAAAUCAAAAUUGCAGUUUGAAGUAUUAUUGCUAUACAUUUCUUCCUAAAUAAUUAAUGUGCUUAAACAUUUUCUGAAACAAAUUUGAAUCUGAAAUAAAUAUUUCUGAUGAGCA